rnacentral:tRNA from 1 species
GGGGAGAUGGCUCAGUGGUUAAGAGCACUGGCUGCUCUUCCAGAGGUCCUGAGUUCAAUUCCCAGUAACCUCA